GACGAACGCUGGCGGCGUGCUUAACACAUGCAAGUCGAACGGAAAGGCCCUGCUUUUGUGGGGUGCUCGAGUGGCGAACGGGUGAGUAACACGUGAGUAACCUGCCCUUGACUUUGGGAUAACUUCAGGAAACUGGGGCUAAUACCGGAUAGGAGCUCCUGCUGCAUGGUGGGGGUUGGAAAGUUUCGGCGGUUGGGGAUGGACUCGCGGCUUAUCAGCUUGUUGGUGGGGUAGUGGCUUACCAAGGCUUUGGCGGGUAGCCGGCCUGGGAGGGUGACCGGCCACAUUGGGACUGAGAUACGGACCAGACUCCUACGGGAGGCAGCAGUGGGGAAUAUUGCACAAUGGGCGGAAGCCUGAUGCAGCAACGCCGCGUGCGGGAUGCAGGCCUUCGGGUUGUAAACCGCUUUAGCCUGUGACGAAGCGUGAGUGACGGUAAUGGGUAAAGAAGCACCGGCUAACUACGUG
rnacentral:rRNA from 1 species